rnacentral:rRNA from 1 species
UACGAAGGGGGCUAGCGUUGCUCGGAAUUACUGGGCGUAAAGCGCACGUAGGCGGUCUUUUAAGUCGGGGGUGAAAUCCUGGAGCUCAACUCCGGAACUGCCUUCGAUACUGAGAGUCUUGAGUCCGGGAGAGGUGAGUGGAACUGCGAGUGUAGAGGUGAAAUUCGUAGAUAUUCGCAAGAACACCAGUGGCGAAGGCGGCUCACUGGCCCGGUACUGACGCUGAGGUGCGAAAGCGUGGGGAGCAAACAGG